rnacentral:rRNA from 1 species
UACGUAGGGUGCAAGCGUUGUCCGGAAUUAUUGGGCGUAAAGAGCUCGUAGGCGGUCAGUCGCGUCUGCUGUGAAAACUCGGGGCUUAACUCCGGGCCUGCAGUGGGUACGGGCUGACUAGAGUGCGGUAGGGGAGACUGGAAUUCCUGGUGUAGCGGUGAAAUGCGCAGAUAUCAGGAGGAACACCGGUGGCGAAGGCGGGUCACUGGGCCGCAACUGACGCUGAGGAGCGAAAGCAUGGGGAGCGAACAGG